CCGUGCGCGGCCCAAGGGCAGCGGGGACGGGCAGGGGGAGCGCCGGCCGCGGCCCGGAGCCCGCCCGGCCCGCUGCCCGCCCCCCGAGCCCCAAACUUCGCUCUUUCUUCUUUCUUCCCCGACCCUUUGUUAUGUCACAGCGGGCGGGCAGGGCCCCUCUGCCCGGCAAAACUUUUUUUGGGGUGGCUCCGUUGGCUGCGGGGAGCAGAAGGGGCUCGGCGCGGGGAUGGAGGCGCGUCCCCCCAGGGAUGCCCUGCCAGGGCGGCGAAGGUGCGGCGCUCCCUGCACAAUGGGAUGCCGCUCGCUUGGCGGAUAGCAGAGGCACGGGCAGCGCUCGGGGCUGCUAACAAAGCCCGGGGCUGCCGGCCCGGCUCCCUCCGCUACCGGGGCUGCCCGGAGAGAGCCCGGCCCGCGGGGCUCCCGGGAUGAGCGGGGAAGGUUUCCGCGGGGCUCCCGGGAAGGUUUCCGUGGGGCUCCCGGGAAGGUUUCCGCGGGGCUCCCGGGAUGAGCGGGGAAGGUUUCCGUGGGGCUCCCGGGAAGGUUUCCGCGGAUGUGCAUCCGAGCAGCCCCGGGAGGCUUCGCGCUGCUGCUGGGCUCUGUGCGGUUUAUUGGAGAAGCCACGUGAAAAGGCACCUUUCUCUCUCCUCUCUGCUCUUGACGUGGCUGGGAAAUGGCGAUAAUCCUGGGGGCCCGUCUCGCCUUGCCCGUGCACAGGAGAGGGGGAAGGCUGCAACCGAGCUGAGGAAAACCGAGCGGGUCCCUGCGCUGGGCAGGAAUUUUUAAUCGCUCUCCUUUAAAAGCGUCUGCAGUGGAGACUUGCAUCCCCUCAAAAAUUUCUCACAUGUUUGGGUAAAAUACAGGCAAUUGGAAGACAGGCAGAUUUCCCUCCCUUUCCCGGAGGGAAGCUGUUUUUUUUUUUGUCCCUGUCCUCCAAGUAGCAAAUUAAAGAUCAGAGUGAGUGGUAAUCAGAAUGCCUCCAGAAAUACCCUCUUUAGAAAAAUUAAUCAGAUCCAAAAUUCAAGGGACUUAUUUUCCUUUCUAAAAAUAUUUUUUUUGUUUUUAAGUGGCGUACAGUUUUAUUUUAAGUUCUUCAGUAUCUUCUGAAUGUAUUUGCCUUUGUCAUGAACUGGAGCUGAUGUUAAUAUCAAGGUUCAUAUCUUGUCUGCUGGGAUAACAGAAUCCUUACAGUUCUUGAAACGCACAUUUGUUGGUUAGCCCCCAAGCCUGGAGGAAAUCUGAGCAGUGAUGGGUGAUGAGCAGGAAUGUGCUGAUACUAUCUCAUUAGGCAGGCUUGGAAGAAGUCCUCCCUUUAAUACAGACCUAGCAGUAAGCUCCAGAUGCAGGAUCCCUCUCCCAAAGCACUUAACUAGUGCUAGAAGCUACAUUGAUCUUCUUGACUAUUAGUUAAUCUUGAUCCUGUGCACCAAAUUCCCCCAUUUUUGGAGGUGGAUGAAUCUAGCUUCUUAAAAAAUUGCCCCAUAGGUUAUGUUAGGAAAGAGUUUGGUGUAUUAGUUGUCAUGUUAGUAAACCAAAUGUUUGAAGAAUGGCAGUGCUGCUGCAGUUUUGGUUUACAAAACAGUUCUAGUCCAUUUCCACCACAUGGUUUAGUAACAAACUCUGUGUGGCUUAUCAGCUAUUCCACUUGCCCAUAUGUUUUUCUACUCUCUAAGCAUAGUGGUUAUCUCAGAGAUGCUAUUGAAGAGAGUCUCAUGCAAUAAAAGGAGCUGUUGUUUCUUGUCUGAGCCUCUUGAUGAGUUGGUGCAGCACUAAAUACAAUGAACUUUAAAUCCAUCUGCUUUAAAAGUAGUUUUUAAGAGAUAUUGUAUGCUGGAGAUAUGUAGUGAGUAUAGUAAACUCUACUAUUCCAACACUUGUGAAGUAGAACUCUAUUUUUGCUGCUUUAAUUUGCUUCUCUUCAUGUCAGAAGAUUUUGAAGUUGAAGCCCAUGUCAAGCAAGCUGCUGUAUAUCUGAGGUUAACAGAAACUGUUUGCUCUGGUCCUGCUGUCCCUAAGCAAGCCUGUUGUAAAAACUCCAAAUUUAACUUUGUGCUGGAAAAUUCCAGAGAAUGUCAGUCUCUGUUGGAAUGGGAAAGGAGGGAUAGAGCUUCACAGAAAACCUGCACGUGAACUUUCAAGCAAUAUGGCUUUCCAUAAUAGUCUAAUAUUACAUGUGCUUUAAUUUAUUAUUAAUAAAAUAUUAUUUAAGAACAGUGUUAAUUGCUGUUCUCCCUAGCCCUCCUGCCACAUUCUGGUUUACAGACAAUUUUGGUUUCACUGAGUUUGAAGCAUAAGUUGGAAUUAAUCUGGGCUAAAAAUCCAGCACUGCUUUGUGUAAUGGAGCGGCAUGUUUGGUAUUCUGGUAUAGCCAGGCUCUUGCUACACAGAGCAAACAUCUGCCAGGUUUGGAACUUUCUCCUCCCAUAAACUCACUGGACUCCUGCUGCUGAAGUGGAUGUUGGGUAAUUCAUUUGAUGAAAUCAUAUUUUUCAAGCCUCAGAAAGACUAUUCCCCCUUUGCCUUCUGUACCAAGGACAACUUUAGUGAGUGACUUCGCAAGUUCAGCAAAACCAUCGGGGUAAUUUGGGGUAGUUUGGGUUGAACCCUGGCUACCAAGUGCUGGUGGCCCCUCAAUCUCCACUGCUGCCUCCUUCUCCUCUCUGUACAGCCAGAAACCUUACAGAAAGAUCUGACCCCUUAUGCAAGAACCCUGACUGGCCUGGUUCUCAUUGAAUGAUUCACUGGGGGUUUUGUGUUUGAAUGAAUUUCCUGAACUGCUUUUCAAAUAUAAAUACCUGCAUAAUUAGCCAUGGAUGCCUUUAAAUUUCAAGCCACUAGAGGUUGAGGGUAGUCAUACAGUGAAAACAUCUCUUGUCUGACAAAUGCUGAAUAUUCUGUCAGUCAGAUGGUAAAACUGCUCAAUUUUGAGCUGCAAAGUGGUCAAAAUAGGAGUAAGAUCAUCAUUAGAGCCACUAAUAGAUAAUGUGUCUAAUCUGCCUACAAUAUAAUGGCUUGUCAUCCUCUGAGGUGGUUAAUGUUAUUGAGCCCUCAUUGUUUUAACAGACUGCUUAGGGUUUUUUAGGGCCUAGUGCUGCUGAGAUUAUUUAGGCAAAAACAUUUUUACUUGUCUGUUAUUUGCUGAAGUAAAUUGCAUACAGUAUUACCUUUAGGAUGAUUUUAUUGAAAAUACUGCAACUCAUUAAAGGCAGAACUGGAUCUUUUUGUCUGCCUUACAAGCUCCGUGCAGCCACAAAUCCCAAGCACUGUGUGUUUAUGUGACACUUCUUUCAUUUGUUUGUGGGGGUGGAGCUCCUCUGGGAGUGGCUGUGCUGUGGGGGCAGUGGGUUUUGGGCUGCCAGCCGUCCCGCUGCAGGGGCUGGAUGAUGGUCACUGCCUUAGAGGCUCUUCAGGAAGGGAUGGGACAGUCCCUGCCAGACACCAGAAAGGCUUCUCUGGGAUUCAGCUGUGUUCUUGCUUCUGCUGCUUCAGUUUUGUGUGAUGCUGAAAGGUCACCAGGGAUUAUUCUGGGGGUGACUUGAUUAAACCGGUGGCAGCUGUCCCGUGUGAACUCGCUGCUCAUGACCUGACUCCAGCCCAGAGCAUCUGCUGCAGCUUGUCUUUGCUGCCCAGUGAUGUCCCCUCUGAUGCUGCCAAACUGGCUGUGCUCACCUUGGCUGAGGUGAGCCUCUCCUUCCCACCAGCUUUGUCCAUUUUCCACGGGCAGAGCAGAGAGGCUGCUGCCCUGGAACCACCCAGCAGGGUCAGUGGCUGGGCUGGACACAAUUCCCAGGCUCUGCUGCUGGCAGUGGGGAUGUGCACAGGCUGUGCAGCCUCUCCUGCUGCUGCUGCUGCUGCCGUUGUUUGCCCUGCAGAAGCCCUGCUCUGCUCCCGGGUGCCAGGGGGGCUUUCCCCGCUGGAACUCCCCUCUCAGCUGCUCUCUCACAGGAGGAGCAGCCCCUGUGCACACCACUGCUCGUCCUGGAUUGCAUGAGCACAGGGCUGCACUUCCAGGUCACUUCCCCAGCUGGGUAUGGCAGAUGCUGUUGCCGAGUCAGCAAGGUUUUCCUUAGCUCAGAUGGCUUUUUUUCCUUCUUUUUUUAUGGCAGCACUGCAAAUUACGUGAGUCUUGGGAUUCUCACUGGGCUAUUUCAAGGCAAAUCUGAGAUUAAACUUUGUAUUGCUAAGGUUGACUUUAGAUAAGAGUUCGGCCCUUCUUAAACAGCUUCAUCAGAUAAUGAAUUAUCCCUGCUUUCCCUAGAUGCAUAUGAAGGGCAGAGCUAGGAAUAGACCUGGGAGAUGCUGGAUUAGGUUAGUUCUGCCUCUAUGCCCUGAGAAGCCCUGCCCUGAAACUAAUGGAUAUGCCCACGUGUUGAGCCAAAUCCAGUUCAUUUUUCUGUCCUUAGUAAGUGUUGCUACUGCCUGGCUGUGUUUUCAUCAACAUUUUACUUGAUUUUGUUGUUGCUGCUGUUGUAUUUGCUUCAUUGGUGAUAAAUGGAGUAUUUGCAAUUUGUGGUUUCCAGCUGAGAUGAGAAGUUGUUUUGGUGAAGAGGUACAGUUUUGAGGAGCAGGUUAAAGGUGAAAGGAAAGAAAUGUUCUUAUUGCAUGUUAUUAUUUGGGGGCUGUGAUGAGGAAAGCAAGCUGUAGAGAGGCUUGGCUCCCUGUCUUCAAGGUGGAUGCCUGAAUGAUAUGAAAACAAUAAGAAAUACUUAUCUGAGUUAGCUCACAGUGUCUUUGCAGAUGAGAGCUGUGCUGGCAAGAUAGGAAUUGAUUUAAAUUCCUGAGUUCCAGCUCCUGCUUUCCUCCUUCCUUGACCCUAAGUAGCAUUUUCUUACAGACUCUGAUUGGCAGUCCUGAUGAAACAGACUGCUGAGAUCCCUGGUGUCUUGCACCGUGUUGGAUUGCUGCUUUCCUUUGGAUUUGUAAAAACCCCAGUCUGCCAGUAGAUAUGGGGGGAUGUAGCCAGCUCUCUGAGGUCCUUUUCCUGUUAGCUGGGAGCAGCCAAAAGCCCACAGCCAGGCACUGGGAACCGGAGGAGCAGAGACUUUGCUGGAAUUCAGGUUACCCAGCUGGGGCCCUGAAAGUCUGGUGUGUGCACACCAGACAUUGGUGGAUGUAUGGAUUUUCCCAUUUGGAUUUUCCCUUUCUUUGCUGUGCAGUGGGCACUGAGUCAUCCAUACAAUGCAGCAAUGAGUGAUUUAUUCCUCUCAUUGUAAUUUUCAUCUUCAGAGCAGCCAAGAGUGUUGGUCCCAUUUGACAUGUGUUCAGUGGCAUAUAUGAAAAUUCCUAUUUUUGAGGCUAGUUGCUAGCAGGUAAAUGCAUGGAAAAUGAAUUGUCUUUCACCCUUUAGAAUUUGUCUUUCCCUGGUGUGGACAUACCUCACUGAAAUGAGGAAGCUGUUUGGACUGCAGUCUUCUGUUGUUCCAGUUUUCUGAGCACCAAAAAAUACUUAAAUUUUAAAUCCCUGGGUAUACUUUAAUCUUUUUCUGUAUGCUGCAUGGGGUUCUCAAAAUGCAAUGAAAUUGCUCCUGAUGCUAAAUCAUUUUAACACAGCUGCAUACAGUUAAAUUCAGACUGAAGCACAUUAAUCCAAGCUAAGUAGUGUUUGUAAACCUCAGUGUAGAUUCAGCUUUUGUCAUGUCACAAUUUUUACAUACAGAAGACCAGAGAUUCUUCUCCCAGGUCUUGGAAUUUAACCUGAUUAGAUAAACAGCAGAUGGGGUGGGACAAGGCACUGAUAAGUCCCUGGACCCUGGCAAAGCGUUUUUUUUCUGUGAAGUAUUUGCUACAGAAGCUCUGAGCUUCAUGAAGAAGCUGUGCCCAUUGCCUUGACCUUAGUGGUAUUUGAAAUUUUUAACAAGGUGAAUUUUAUUGUGGAGAACUAAAUCCCAGCUUUCAGCAGGAUUCUGGAGGUCACUUCUGCACUGCUCCGUUUGGGAUAAAGGUGAAAGUUAUGAAAUUAGAUUGUUAUACAAUAUUUUAUGGCUAGCAGAAUGGUGUGGGGGUUUUGUUGUUACUGCAUUACAUCAACAGACUUUUAUUUUGACUUUUGUUCUACUUGUGGGAAAAUGCCCUCCUUAAUUUCUUGGUUUAGAGAUGCUCUUUUCAAAUGGAGAUGUGGCUACAGUGAAGCUUUUAAAGCUGCUGGGAACAGCUGAAUAGAAAUGGUUAACAUUUUUAAUAUCUUUCAUGUUUGCUGAGAGCAUCCUGAACAUUUCCUGAACAACCACUGUGUUUAUAUUUUUCCUUCUUUUUUCCCCUCCACCUCUUUUCUUCAGUCCAUUCCCAUUCUUAAGCUUCUUGAGGCCCUCCUCAGCUUCAAGGGGAGCCCCAGACUGUUGGAGUGGCACCUUUUACAAUUAUCCAAUUGACAAUCACAGCAGUGAUACAGAGGACUCGUGUGAAAUUAUUUACUCCUCUAUCUCCUUCCCCAUCUGAACUAACAAUACCUUUCUCCAGAGUCUUGCAACUCCCACUGAUGAUCAGGGCAUCUGCUGGUUUGCAUCCUUGAUGUUCCAGCAGCUGGCCAUCAGGCUUUCCAGGUAAAUUGCAGACUUUGCCUUCAGUAUUAGCAAGAUAAAGGCUUUACUGAUCAGGUUGCCCCUGCUCUGAGGAAGCACCACCAGCUCUCAUUUAAUAGUUGCUAUAUAGAUCUCCCAUACUUUAAGGAAUGCUGGGAAAACAGAUCAUCAGCUACUUUCCUUGCUUUCUUGUGGGAAAAACUUGCUCUGCACAUUUCUGGAAUGCCAGGAGUGGCCAUUGCUGUAAUAGAGAAAUAACAGCUUUGUAUUUCCUGUCAGAGAUGGAGGACAAACAAACAAGACAUAUUUUUUUCCUCCAGUGAAAAGAUUUUAAUAUUUUCCUAUGUGGUCCAUCUUGGCCAAACGCCACUUCUGGGAAUUCUGUUCCAUCUGCCUCAGUGUUUGGAGGUUCCCUUGUUCUGCUGGUGCUGUUGGUCCUGCCCUGUGGUGGUGUCCCAGGGCAGGCUGAUGAGGGACCCUCUGCUGUGGGCAGAAGAGUCGAGGAAACCAGUCCAAAAGGCUGAAAAGUGCAGUGAGUGGUGAUGCUGAACCCAAAGCUCUCUGACUGAUGCCUGCCUUCCUCAGUGAGUCAGUCAGAUUUAGGCCUAAUGGCAAACGGGAUGAAGACUGCUGGGGUUACUCAUCUGGGCUCCAGUGCUCCUACUCUGAACUGCAGGGGACACUGGGCUUUGCUUCCCCAUGUGCUUCUGUACAGCAAAGGAAGCAGAGGUAUACAGGGAAUUAAGGAAACUCUGUACAUGGCAUGGUUAUCUCUUGUAACUGAACUUCAGGCCUAGGUCACCACUGGUGUUGGUUGGGAAUUCUGUGAAUAAUUAUCAUUGUCCAGAAAUUAUUAUUUUUACAGUGCCGUAAGAUUGCAGAGAGACAUUCUGUGCUCAGAAGGAUUUUCCUUCCAAGCAUGUGUGUAGUGAGAUCCUGGCUAUGCAGAUUAUGGAUUUUGAUGAAUGGGGUGCGUUUCCCAUGGGUUAGUGCAGUUUUUAAUGGGAAGGAAUGUUGUAGGCCCAGAGUGUGUGGAGGUUGGGGUGGCUGUGCCCAGCUCAUCCCUAACGGGCUCCAGCUGGGCAGCACAGGUGAGCAGCACUGAGGGGAACGAGCCAUGGAGUGUCCAGGGCCCUGAGCAGAGGGCACACAGGUGCAGGGCAUCAGCACCAGGGGAGGAAGCUGCAGGGCGGUACAGAGCUGCAGCCUCUCGAAGCCUCCUUGGGUGUUGGUCGUGGCUCCACUGCUAUUCCAAGCAAGAACUGCCUGGGUGAGUGUUCCUGGAGGUGCCCCAAUAACUGUGCUGAGGUUUGGUGGCUACUGGCUCUUCCUGCUGCUAGAACCUGGGGUACCUGCUCACUACUUGUGAUGGAUGCAAUGCAUUUGUUUUAAUAUUUUUCUUCCUUCCGUGACUUCCACUGAAGCAUUUAUCUAUUUCAGAGAGAAUAGAAGAGCUCUUUAUUCCGUGUGUAGCAUUCACUAGGGAUAUGAAUCCCUGUUCCUGGAUAGUGGCUCACAGUUCCAAUAUAAAGAAUGAAUUGUCAGCUACUGGUGAAUUUCAGAUUUGCUACUGCUGCUGCUGCACCUGUGAGUUCUGUCACAAUGAGCCAACGGUAGCCAGUGCUGCAGCAGACAUUCCUAAUUGGAAUGCAGUCUGUAGAUUAUCCCUGCUCGUUGGGGGUGAUUUACUGCCAUCCACUCAGGCAACAUUACCUUCUUAUUUGUCUGAACGAGCUUCAGACUCUUUGCAGUCUCCUGUGCUGUGGAUUUAGUACCUAAUGGCAAUGUAAAAAGCCAGGAGAAUUAAUUUCUCUGGGGUGUGGCUGUAACAUGGGGUAGAAAGGAGAUGUAGUAUUCAUGAGGCAAGAGCACGGGAAUGCUGUUGGGUCAGAUGAGAAUGGGAAUGAUGAAGUGAGCACUCUGUCUACUGCUUGUUUAAAGAUUGAUUUAAAAAUAUAAUUUUGAGAUAAAUACAUACUGUAUUUAAUUUUCAUUUGCUUUUAGAUCUCAGUAAUUUUUAUGAUAUAAUUAAGAAAUGGGUUGAGAAACUUUGGUCUGUCUACCUGUCUGUAAAGCAGAUAGCUCACCUGUAAGUUCUCAGAAAGUUUAUGAAUCUACCACAAUUCCUCAGUUACAUGGAGAGGAGUUUAAGGUUUAUCACUAUGGUGGUCUUAAUUUGGGAUUAUGAGGAGGGCACCUUUUGCCAAGGACCAGGAUUGCAGGUGUUUUCAGGCUCUGAGGCUCAGCAGGCCAGGGGAUGCCCCCCUGCAGAGUGUCGUCUGGCUCGGCGAUGCUCCCUCCUCCCUCAGCAAAGCAGCAGAGCAUGCUGCAGGAUGUGUUUUGAGGCUGGGGGCACCCAGUGUAACUUGGAGAAUGCCCACCCUUGUAAAGCUGUGCCAGCUCCUGCCAUCAGGUGACUUUGUGACAAGUCUUGCUUUCAUGAGACAGAAAUGAAACUGAAUGUUUCAGUCCUCAUAACUGCAGGGAAGUGCUGGAAAUGUGAAUGGUGGCUUGGCCCCCAAAAGGCAAGUAAAAAUCCAGUGUGGGUUGUUGUAAUUCAGAUGCCUCAUUUCUGUGCUUAAUCAUCAUUCUGGGGGCCUGACUCACAGUUUUUCAGUGCUAGGGAUUGCUAUAGUGAGAAUUACAUAUCAGCCUAUAAUUAGAUGCAUUUUUUUAAUUAAGGAAACUGCAACAGUGAAGGGAAUAAGAGAAACAAAACUAAUCUGGGCAUUCCUUCAUAGGUCAUAUUAUUGAACAUUUUGUCUUGGCAGCAAGCAAGCAUCCAGCACAAACACACUUGCUGAGCCUUAUGGACAAAUGCUGAACAUCUCCAGGUUUAUGUAUGCCCAGCUGGAUGAAGCAGUGAAAAUGCACAUAGGGUUGUUAUUUUACCUAUCCUGUUUCAGCCACUGCCUUUAAGUGUAUCCAGAAGGGAAUGGCAGAGUGCUGUUAGAGCUUUCUGAUCCACAAAUGGUAACAACAGCAAGAAGCUUAACCUAUCAAUAGAGAAAUUGUGCGUUUUGAUAGAUCUGUUUAGACAACAGAACAAGUGGAAAACACUUAUUUAAUGUAGUUCAGUAACUGCUAAUGGGUCCAGCAUCUGAGAACAUGUUUAUUUUUGCCUUGGGUCUUUGAUGCUUUCCCUCAUUUACAAACUGUUUCUGUCACAAACAAACAGUUUUGUGCUUCACUUGUCUAGCAGGCCAUUGCUACUGAAAGUCUUGUACUAAGAGGGUUGAGUUUGUUGUUGUCCCCCACCUAAUCUGUGGGAAAAUGUUCAGUUGGUUUUACAAAUUUAGUACAAAUUCAGUUUUCUCAUCUGCUGCAGAGCAGCAGAUCUGCAUCACAGGGAAAAGCAGAGUUCCCUCUGCCUGAGAGGGGUAAAUGAGCUGCUGGGCUCUCCUCUGUGGCAUAACCCGGCGAACGUGGGCUGUGUCUGUCACCUGAAAUCAGGGCUCGCCCUCAAUGAACAUGAGCUUUCUCAGCACUUCAGAGCUUGAUCGGUUCGUUCCCAGAGAGCUUUCAGCUUUGUGGUUUGGUUUCAGGUGGUGUCUCAUGUGGUCCUGCAGUCUGCCUGCUGAGAAUCUUGCUCCUUUCCAUUCAAGAUCUAUAACUUGUUUUGCCUUAGAGAAAUAAAAAAGAAACCCCCCCCCAAAUCCUGAGAGGUUGUUUCCACUCAUGAAUUGCUGCCGGUGUAGAGGUGUUUCUCAAAAACCUGGAUAACUGCUAAGAACAGACCAGCUUUAAGCAAGUUUAAGGAGGAAAUAGCCAGACAUUGUCAUUUCAUUGACACCUUUUUGGGUCUAAAGUGAAUGGGCUGAAUGUAUUGCAGAGGAAUAUCUCCCAAAACACACUGGACAACUGAUUGA